rnacentral:tRNA from 1 species
GAGGGCAAAGCACAGUGGUAGAGCGCAUGCUUAGCAUGCAUGAGGUCCUGGGUUCAAUCCCCAGUACCUCCU